rnacentral:lncRNA from 1 species
GCAUAGCAUGCACGGAGCACCCGUAGAGCGGACAUCCUCAUAUCAUUUUGCCUAGGAAAACUUUAUAAAUAUAUAUAUAAAAAAUAAAAGAAUUGGCGCGUGGCUGAGUUUGACGGGAAAUGGGGAAGUAAACUGAAGGAGCUCAAACAGCGGGUUCCACACCACAGUAUGUUGCAGCUGUCAGAGUGGAGAGACAGCCUGACGGGAGAAAGAUGGAUGUUGCUGCUAACCGUUUGCUGGCACGGAAUCGUUGGAGGUCUUCAACACGUGUGUGUUCGAAGGGGACGAAGACAACUCGGAAAAUGUAUGAGAUUCGACGAGCACUGCCUGUUUUAAAAAAACGAAAGUAUGAUGAGAGAUGUGUUUCAACAUCAAGGUUUCCUCACAGACCUCAAGCUAAAAGCUAGGUUGUGCCCUUUUAAUGAAUUUGGGGAUUCAAUGAUUUGCGACCAGAUAGUUUUUGGAACCAACUACAAGAAAAUGAAGCAAAAGCUGUUACGGUGCGUGGCACUCACGUUGGGUAAUACAGGGGGAUGUGCCAGGCUGGUGAGCUGGCAAAGCAGCAUGAGGCUUCCGAGACACCACACAUGGAGCAGCCUGUCACGUGGCGAGGCUGUGGACGCCAUUUCAGUAAAAGAAAAGCACCCAGUUCAGAUACAAGGACAGCUAGAACCUUCACGGUACAAUCUGAAGAUGGACAAGUGUUUAGGAGGAACCGCGUUGCUUUGGAUUCAGGAGCAUAGUCGGGAGCUCAUGCAGGGGGAGCAGAUCAGAGUAAGUUCGGACAGACACACUGAUGAUUCACCUUCACCAACCACAGAGACCGAUACCCCAGCCGCGAGAAAAUCAACGAGACAUGUUGUACUCAGAAAGACCGAUAGAGGAAGCAUGACACUGAAGGGAGAAAGGAAUGUUUUUAUAUUAAAUGUGAUGUUUUGUAACUUUGAUAAGUGAAAUAAAUAUUUUGCUUUUAUCAUAAGGUGUUAGAACAGGGAAAUAUAAGAGAAGUCUAAGAGAAUUUAAGUUAAAUGUAAUGAUAUGUUUGGUAAUGUUUUAUGGAGAGCUUGAAAAUGUAUCUUGUUGAAGUAACAUAGUCAGAAUGGAAUGUCUAUAGCUCGACUAUACUUAUCAUCCAUCAACAGAUGGCGCUAUGGGUAUUUAGUGUGACAGGCAGGCAGCCCAUUGAGCGAGUCGGUCAAGAGAAAAUCUGUUGAUCCUGUACAUGCAUGGCGAAGAGACACAUUUAAAAAGAGUAACUCCUAGAAACCAUCUACUCGUCCUAUUUCUUAUACAUGAGGAAACAUUGCACUGGUAACGGCAAAAAUUC